GAUGAACGCUGGCGGCGUGCUUAACACAUGCAAGUCGAACGGGAUCCAAGAAGUGCUUGCACUUUUUGGUGAGAGUGGCGAACGGGUGAGUAACACGUGAGUAACCUGUCCUUUUCUUUGGGAUAAGCUUCCGAAAGGGUGUUUAAUACCUUAUGUUCUGUCUGCCUCGCAUGGGGUGGGUGGGAAAGAUUUUUUCGGUAAAGGGUGGGCUCGCGGUCUAUCAGCUUGUUGGUGGGGUGAUGGCCUACCAAGGCUUUGACGGGUAGCCGGCCUGAGAGGGUGGUCGGUCACAUUGGGACUGAGAUACGGCCCAGACUCCUGCGGGAGGCAGCAGUGGGGGAUAUUGCACAAUGGGCGAAAGCCUGAUGCAGCGACGCCGCGUGGGGGAUGAAGGCCUUCGGGUUGUAAACUUCUUUUGCUCUGAACAAGGCGCACCGUGGGGUGUGUUGAGUGUAGGGGUUGAUUAGCGCCGGCUAACUACGUGCCAGCAGCCGCGGUAAUACGUAGGGCGCGAGCGUUGUCCGGAAUUAUUGGGCGUAAAGGGCUUGUAGGUGGCUGGUUGCGUCUGUCGUGAAAGCUCAUGGCUUAACUGUGGGUUUGCGGUGGGUACGGGCUGGCUUUGAGUGCAGUAGGGGAGACUGGAAUUCCUGGUGUAGCGUUGGAAUGCGCAGAUAUCAGGAAGAACACCGGUGGCGAAGGCGGGUCUCUGGGCCGUUACUGACGCUGGGAGCGAAACUUGGGGAGCGAACAGG
rnacentral:rRNA from 1 species